rnacentral:lncRNA from 1 species
ACCGCCGCCGCCGCCGCCGCCGCCUCACAAAAUGGCGGCGCCCAUAGAGGAGAGAGCGGCCGCCUCCUCGGCCCCAUUUUGUGGGAGGUGAGAGAUCUGUCAACAUGGAAUACCUCCGCUGAGAAUGCUUCCGAGCUUGGAAAGCCGGCCUGAGGGAUGGAGGCUGAAAGACCACCUUGCUCGGGAACUGUCACCUCUACACUUUUUCACUUUUUCAUUUUCUCAAAGGAAGCGGUAGAAGCCGCCCUGGUAAUUUUAACUAAGGGGAGAAAGGAAAGCUCCGGAUGACAGCUCCGGGAACCUGACGCGGCAUCUUGGUGGCUUUGGUUGCUCUUCACGCUCCUGGCCGUUGACUGGGAUCCGAGGGGUCGUGGACCGGCUGAUGCGAUGUAGCAGCGGUGGCCGUGGCCCCGCCACCCGUACAGGAAGACUUUUCGCGAGUUUUUAGACGCCGGAGUCUGUAGGUCUCCUCGUCUGCAUCGUGACCCUCGGAGCCCCAGAGGCCACUGCCCAGCGACUCGGGCCGGAGCGGGCGGGACGAGUGGAUGCCCAGCCGGGAUGGUGCUCCGGGGCUGUGGUUGGGACGAAGGCCUCCAACCUGGAAUAGAAGCAAUCGUUUGUGUUUGCAAGACUUUUUUCGAAGUGUUUGUUUAUCUGAUGUUGACCCUAAAAUUUACUCCAGCGCUGCCUGCAGCUUUCUGGAGGCUGCUCCUUCAGUAAAUUCCACGCCCCAUCUCCUGCCUCACCCGGUUGCUACUGCUGGUGUAUGGAUCACCAAGAUACAGUUUCUGGUCCUGUCUGUUCCUACUGAUGUCCCUUACAUUUAAUAAAUUUGGUUACCACUAAUCAGUCUGUAUCCCUUGCAAGAACACUGUAUCUUAGCAUCUAAGUAGCCAGGGAAUUUUUUUGCCCUAAAGUAAGCUAAUAUGUAGUCCUGCAUUUCUUAUUACCAAAUUACAUUUCCUAUAGUGGGCAGCAUAGAGCAGGUAGAUCCUGGAAAAAAAAUGUUAGGUGUGCUGACAGUUUUACCACAAUAGAUAUUCUCCAACUAACUUGAUAAGAUAUAAAGUAAAAUAUAGCUCAGUUUUCAAGCAUUAAUGAAAACUAUUCCUAUAAAAACUUACCAGUAAUAGUGAAAAUUGUGGAGAAUCAAUUUGUGUGCUUUCCUGUUCUGAUGAGAAAUUAUGCAAAGCCGUUAUGUUGUGAAGAAAUGAAAGAGUUUUUAACAAUAACUGCAAAUCAUUGAUUAAUAGCAACAGUUUUUGUUUUGUUUAGUCAAGAAAUUGUGAUAAAUUAACAAUUUCCUCUUUGAAUUAAAUUUCAAAAAACUGAACCCAGUUUCAAAUUCAGGUGUUUCAGGUAUGUGAUUUUAACAGCUGACAAAUGAUAAAUUGUAUGUUAACUCAUUGGAGAAAUUUUUGGAUUUUAGGUUACUCUGAGGUAAAAAAAAUGGCUAAAUUGUUUGAACAAUUGAAAUAUCAAGUUACAUUGAUAUUUCUUGAAAGAUAUUAAGAAGAAAGGUACUAUUGAUAAGAUGUGAGAAUGCUUUCAUGGCUUUACUGCUCUUGUCUAUAAUAUGCUAAGCUUUUUUAUAUGGGUUGUCUUAUUUGAAAAUUUGAUUACAACUUUGAAUCAUAGAACCUUUCUAUUAUAAUGGUGAUUAUAAGGAGUAUUAAUAACUAAGCUUUUAAAGGUGAGGAAAGAGUUUAUUCCACUGCAAAUUAGGGCAGUUUUAAUGCAGAUACUCUGAAUCUGCAAUUUACAGAUUUCUGAAUGAUUUGACCCAAAAGGUCUGAUAAACUUUUUUGGGAUCUUAAGCUUUUCAUUAGCUAUUAAAGGUAUUCUUUGUAUAUAUGUCACCCAAUAUGAUUUAUUUUUUAAGUGAUAAUUUUCAAUUGAAAAUACUUUAAUAAGGCUUAACUAAAAUAUUAUUAGGAGGGCUGGGGAUUUAAACUCAUUAGUUCCACUGCCUGCCUCACCAGCUCCAGGUCCCGAGUUCGAUCCCAGUACCUCCCCCCCCCCAAAAAAAAUUAAAUGUUAGGAAAUCAUAAUAAUACACUUGAGGAGUAGCAUUCCCAGGUGUACUUUUUUUUGUUACCGAGGAUCAAACUCGGGACCUUGCACUUGCGAGGCAGGCGGCGGAACCACUGACCCCCCCCCCCCACGGUGUCCUUUUGAUGGAGAAUUAGUCUUAGUUGUUCUUUAUGUCAUUUACCUCAUUCUGAAUUUCAACAUUGCUAUGGGUUUGAUGUACCAUAUUUGUGAAUUAUUUAUUUAAUUUAUUUUAAUCACAAAAGGUCCUCAUACUGACUGCUCACUAUACACUUUGAAGUAUUCUAACACUUUCGAGCACUUCUGAAAACUUCAGAAGAGCAUAAAUACUAAACCAAGCGAUUACUUAUUUUUAUCAAUGCAGAUUACAAAUCACUGAGUAAAUAUUGAUUGGCUACCUCAAGCAAGAGGUGGAAGUGAAGGCAAGUGUACCCUGUACUAGAUUAUUCUUAACUCCUAGCUAUAAAGGUUGUAAUAAAUAUUCAGACCACAGAGUUCUUAUUUUUAAUAUUUAAGCAGGAUCUGUAACAGAGUCAAAUUCAAAUUCCUGUUCAGAAUAGGGGCAAUUAAAUAUAAUUAUGUACAAACAGCAUCACAUUAGUGUUAGGAUCAGUGUUAGUAUUAGUAUUGCUCAAACUGCUGUAAUGUUAAUAACAAGCAUCUAAAUCACAUUUUUGAAAACUCAGAGCCACAAAAAUAUGAUUUCAAUAAUUAACUUUCUAAUUAUGGGAAAGGCAAGGGAAUGCUCAGUGAAUGUAAAAAAAUAUACUACUGAGCAAACAAACAAAUUGUUUUAAUGAAUUUUGGUUUUCUGUUUCAAUUUUUUGGUACAUUGACUCUUCUUGACAUUGUAUUUUGCUAUUAAUUAAAAAAAUUAAACCCCAAAGACAAAUUAAUUCUGUAUUUAAUGCAGAUUUAAUUCUUGACUAGCUGUAAAGCUUAAGGAGUUGGCAGUCUUGUUGACAAAACAAUGAAAUGAGAAUCAGGCUGAAAUGCAAAUGUGUAAUAAUUAGGUUUCAUAAAAGUAUAUGCAGUUUUUCCUUCAUAAUUACAUGAGUCAGAGUAAUGUUGACUUAAUAAUAAUUGAAUUUACUUACCUGUUGUUUUUCUCUGAAAAUAUUACUAACUCUUCAUAUAUAGUAUCAGAAUGGAAAUUCAGCCACCACCAGUGUAAAUUGUUGAAGCUUAUUGCUGUAUAUUAAGGAAAAUUCUAACCAAUGGUUCAGUGAAAACAUUUUAAAGAUACUAUAAUUUUUUUCCCCCUUUGGUACCAAGGAUCGAACUCAGGACCUUCCACUUACCAGUCAGGCACAGCGCCACUGAGCUAUAUCCCCGGCCCAAGAUGCUAUAAUUCCUUAACAUGAUUUUUAGUGUGUAGAACUGGAAAGUAUUCUAGAAUAAUCUUUGUGUGAUAGUGCACUGAGAAGUAGUUCUGUGGGAGUACAAAGCAACUGACAUAAUUUUUUUUUUGCAGUUAAUACAAUGCCUCCAUGUACUUUGAACAAAGAUGAAGACUUCAGAGUUUUUAAAUACAUUUUCAUUAUCAAUUUUUCCUUUUAUUAACCAUACUAAUAUUAAUAACACUUACCCAUCAGUAGUUAUUGAUCACCUAAAUAAAUGAGUGUAGAUCCUGUUUCCAACAUCUGUUCAUUUUAACUACAUUGAAAGACAAUUCCUAUUUAAGAUACUCAGGGUUAAGUAGAGGCUGAAUGAAGGCCCUCCUUUUUUCUCUGGAAGCCGCAAAGAAGCUUUAACAUUUUCUAAAAGAUAUUCAAGACUUAACUCUCUUCCCACUGAAAUAAAUUCAUCCUUUACACUGCCAUUUGUUAAUCUCAGUUGUUUUUCUGUUCCAUUAAAGCUGGGACACCAAAUAAUAGUAAUACCACAACUAUACCACACUGGAUGGGUUUGUGCCUAUGGCAGAUAUCCUUCUUCCUACAGUAUCCCUGUUAUGGGUCUCAAUUUCUGAGGACUUGAAAUAACAGUAUAUUCUGAGCUAAGUAAGCGUGUCAACUUGUGAUCUAGUUGUGAUGUUCAAGGAGUCCAUGAAGCCUGUGAAACAAGGUAUAUUUACUUGCACUUUUCUGGGGCAGAGGUCUCCGUAGGCAUGUACCCAAAAAGUGAAAGCUCUUUUUGCUGAAGAUAAGUGUGUAGUAAGUAUGGAAGUUCACUUCAGGUGUUGCUUUUUAUUUUGCAUUUUGUUGGCGAGGAGGAAAAGGCAUUUUUAAGUUUUGUUAAGGACUACCACUUUAUCAGAUUGAAAGAAGUAUAGCAAACAAAAAUUUCUAAAGAACUACAUACAGUAGAUCCUUAAAGAAAAGUUUAGGUUAAAUGCACAUGACUUUUUAAAUUUUGCCCUCAUUGAAAAUGAAUGUUUAAGAGAUUACAUUAAUUAAAAGUAUACUCCAAAUAUAAUUCUUCAACUAACUGGGAAUGCCUAGGGAUACAUAUGAAUUUAUUACCAUUGUGUGAGUUAGCAGUAUGUGCUGUGUUCAUGGGUAAUAUUCAAUAGGAAGUUUCCAGUGUUAUAGCCAGGGCCAUACUGUCAUCUCUUUGUGUUUUGUGGCAGUGUUUGAUGAGCGAACCUGAGCAGUUGGCCCAGACUUUGUAAAGAUCAUUCACAGGCUUCUCUGUCCCACAUCAGUCUCUUCUGUUGUCUGUAGGCCCAACGUAUAAUUCAAACUUCAAUAAUAUUAAUUAUAACCUUUAAAAAAAAGAUACUAGGGCUGGGGAUUUAGCUCAGUGGUGCCGCCACCUGCCUUGCAACUGCAAGGUCCCAAGUUCAAACCCCAUACCAAAAAAAAAAACCCGAAAACUAAAAUUCAGUCCAAAGCUACACGUAUUCAAAUUACUCCGUGGAUAUCGUAUUAUUUCUAUGUCCUCUUUGAGAGGUAAUUAGAUCCUUGUAUGCAUAUUUAUUAUUAUUUAAAACCCACAAUUCAUGCAUUGUUUUGGGCCAAGGAGUGGGUAGCAUCCCAUCAUGAGUUUUUUUGGGGGGAGCAGUGGUACUGAGCAUUGAACUUGCACUUGCCGGCAGGCGCGUCACCGCUGAGCUAAAUUCCCGGCCCUCAUGUUUUAUAUACAUGUUAAUGUUAAGAUUUUUCCCUUUGGUCCACUUUCUACUGAAUUAAAAGAUAUUUGAACAUAUUUGAGAGAAAACAUGUGCUUUCCUCAGGCUCCAAUAAUUAGGCCGAUGCACUUGAUUUAAGUUAUAUGCUGAGCUCAUUCCUAAAAUGUAAACAUUUUGUUAUAUGCCUCUUGGCUCCCAAGUCAAUGUUUUUCUACUAAACAUUUUUUCUGUCUUGCUAAUAAAAUCUAAUUUUUAGAAUUGAGUUAGUUUAAUUGCUAAGCAAAUAUCCAUAAAGCCAUAAAUUUAUCUCACUCAUUUAUAAUUUAAAGAAUAGUGUAUAAAAGUUUAAGCAGAAAUAAUUGAUCAGUGAAAAAGGCAGAAAAUAAGCAAAAUAAAAAUGGAAUUAUGGUAGAGUAAGCUAAAAGAUCUUUCUUUAGAGAAUUAUUGGAAAAACUGAGCUUAAAUAUGGAGUUUGGUACUCCUUAACAAAACUUUAAGUUAGAAUCUGCAUGAACUCCCUCAUGUAUCCUUAGGUUUUGCUUUUUGUUGUUUUUUUUUUGCCAGUGUGCACUACUUGUUUAGUAAUCAGGCAACAACAUUUGAAAUUAGUCUUUUAAAGUGACAAUCUAUAUAACAUUUUAAUAAAUAUUAGUGCCACAUCUAUAUAGACUAAUAUUUUUAGCUUCAUUGUAGUACCUUGCACAAUUUUGUAACUGCUAAAUAACAUAAAAAGCUACCAACUCUUUUAAGUAGAUCUUAGCUCUCAGUGUAGUGCAACUUGGCAAAACUGUUUUUACAUGCUUUGAAUUUACAUGCUUCUCAUUCCUUGCUAAUGAGAACAUACACCUUUCCUUUCCUGGCUAAAUUGAAAUCUAAGCUGUGUGAUUCUACCAGACUGUAGUACAAUAGCCAUCCUCUCAGUAUGGAGCAGAUUCAGAGAUACAGUCUUAUUGUAGCCUUAUUUUAAUAGUUUUUGAUCUAAGAUUGUGUAUAUCCGUACUUGAUGAGAAUGUUAUUUCCCCAAAUCAUUUUGCUUCACAGGCAUUAACCAUUCCCUGCCCCAAAUAUUGGAAGAUAGAAAACCAGGCCAAUUGUAUAUGACUGUGAGUGAGCACUGCCUCAACAAAUGACAUAGGAAUCUUUGCAAGUUAUCUUGCUCUCUUAAAGACACAAAUGAAAGCUGGACAUUUCACCCAGUAUCAAAAGCGCAAGAUAGCAUUUUUAGUGCAGCCUGGGAUAGAUAACAGCUCACUUCCCAUCAACAUAGUGCAAGAGUUCAGGAACAUCACUUGCUAAAUGUAAGGCAAGUACUUCCAUAUUUUCCCACAUAUUUUACUGUGAUAAACCAGUGCCAUACUCGGAACAUUAAAAGAUUUUACCUCCAGCUGUCCAAACAUUGCACAUGUUUUUCAGAUGAAAGCAAUUGAUAUGCUAGAGGUUUCUCCCUUAAUGUUUUGUGGCAAUUGACAACAGACCCAGCAUUUAAGGAAUGCAUUGUUAUUAUAACUUUGAGUUUUCAUCACCAAGAAUUUAAGAGCAAUAACUAAGUAUAUGUUUAUCAUUUUUAGUAAUGUUAACUUUUUCAGCCUUAUAAGAUCUUUACCUUGUAACUGGGGUUCAGUAUCAAAGCCAGGAUGUCCAAGAAGGGUAGGGCAGUGCUAUGAUCUGAAUGUUUGUAUCCAUUCUGCUCCCCUUUCAUAUGUUGAAAUCCUAACACUGAGGAAAUGGUAUCAGGAGAUAGUAUUAGGAGGUUGGUGGUCUCAGGAAGAUGAUUAGAUCUUGAAGGCAGAACCCUCAUAAAUUACUGUUCUUUUAAAAGAGACCUCAGAAAAUUGAUUUGCCCUUUCUGUCCUAUGAGGCUAUAGCUAACAACAGCCAACAGAGGUUAUUACAACACAGCAAAUAUGCAAUCUAGGAAACAGACCCUCACCAAACAAAUCUUCCAGCAUCUUGUUCUUGGACUUCCUGGUCCCUAGACUUGUAAGUAAUAAAUUUCUGUUGUUCAUAGACCACACAGUCUGUGGUAUUUUGUUAUUGUAACCUGAAUAGACUAGGACAGGUAUCGAGAAGCAACCCUCAUAGUGCUCAUAGUGUCAUGCACUUGCCAUUCUAGUAGUGCUCAUUUGCCAGUCUUCUCUGGUGAGAGAUUAACAAUUCUAUUUUCUCCUAAGUUGAGGGACAGGUCUUAAGUAAGGAUUUAUUUUCCAAGAAAGUGAUUGAACAGAUUCCUUGCAGGAAGGUUUUCAGAGCUCUACCUUAAAAGUUCUAUUGUCUUUAUACCUAGUUCAAAAGUGGCCAAGGCCAAACCUCAAAGCAUGAAAGCAAAAGUUGGAUUGUACUAAGGGAGAACAUAAGGAUAAAGGCACAACUUUCCUACUGACAGGCAAAUAAAGCUCUGUUGCUUCGUGAUCAACUCAACUUGGAACAGGUCUGGAAGGGGUUGAAUUUUUCAUACUGGGUUAGAAUAGAAGGUCUAUCAACUGUCUGGAUGAUGUCAAGGAAGUACAUGUAACCUGGACUACUAGUGUGGUGAGUCAAGUAGCAAGUGCUCAAGAAACUUUCUUCUCACCUCUUUGUAUAGAAGAAAGCAAAGAUUAAUGAUAAAUUAUUUGAUAGAUGAGAUGAACAACUUUAACAUAAAGCAUAGAUCUGAGACAAAAUAUCUUGUACCUGCCAAGUGGCAACAGGAUAUAUGAAAAGGCUCCCUGAGGUGAGAGUUGGGCCAUAGGUCAUGUCUCCCACUGGUGGACUUUUCCACUGAAAAGUCCGGUCUGAUGGCUGACGAUUUCUUAAGGAAAAUGUAGGACCAGGGAUUUAGCUCCAUGGUGUCACUGCCUGCCUCACAAGCACAAGGUCCUGAGUUUGAUCCCCGGUCCCCCCCCCUAAAAACAAAAAUGUACAGUGUACCUGGCCAUUUUGGUUCAGUCUCUUUAGAAUCCCAAUUGAAAAUUAUACCAUCCCUAUUGUUUCCAUAUGGAGGGGUUGCAAAGGCUGAAAAAUCUGUAGGACUUCACAGAUUCCUCUAAUAUUUCUUAAUAAAGUAUAUUACCUGACUAUUAUAAAUAGCAAAAUUUUAUUCCAAACCUAGCAGUAGCCAACAGUCAUGUCAGCUGUUACAUUAUGUUUCUACGCACCCUAUAAAAGUACGUAUAAUCUUGAAAACUUAUGAGCCAUGCAUCUAUAAUAUUAACCUGAAUUUAUAAAGAACUCUCAAGGGAAAUUAUUUUAUUCAUUAAUUCUCUUUGUUUAGUUUACAGCCUUGAUCUAGAAGAAGAGUAACAUGUGAAUGAGUUAGCAAGGAAACCAGUUGAUUAAUGAAGAUAAGGACAGUGAUGCCUGUGAAUAAAAAUUCGCAUAGCCUUAGUUUAGUAAUAGUUUGUAAUAGCCCCAGCAGAGGAGAUAAAAGGCCUGCUAGCUAUGUCCUCCAAAAAUGAGGAACCUUUGUUAUUUUUAUAAUUAUCUAUCGUCAGAAACUACCCAAAAGCUUGAGAAUCAUUCAGUUAAUGACUUUUGGGAAAUAAAAGGAUAAUCUCAAAUGAGGACAGCACUUUCCACCUAGGAGGAAUAUGGGAAAGCAAAAAUUUUUACUGCUUUCUGUUGAAAGGAAAUACGCAUUUUCAUAGACCAAUUAUUUUUUUCUCCAAGUUAAUCAGUUUCCUCUUCAAUAUUAUACAUAAAUAUUUGUUGCAUUUUGUUUUGGUCUUAGCACCUAUUAAGAUUAGGUAGCCAAAAAUCCUUAAAUAACUUAAAGGUGGGUAUAGGUGCAUGAUCAUAUAUUUCCAAGAAGAGGGAUAUGAAAUGAUUUUUUUUCUAUAAAUUUGCAAAAGAAACUUUAAAAAAUCAGAAUUUCUUUAAAAAAUAGUAACAAGGCCACAAAUUAUUAAGUAGGUCAGAAUUACAGAUUUUAUCAUAAGCUAUUUUUACAGGAUAUAGCAACUCUGAAAUCCAGGCUGAC